rnacentral:rRNA from 1 species
UACGGGGGGAGCAAGCGUUGUUCGGAUUUACUGGGCGUAAAGGGCGCGUAGGCGGCCACCGCAAGUCGAUUGUGAAAUCUCCGGGCUUAACCCGGAAAGGUCAACCGAUACUGCGGGGCUAGAGUGCAGAAGGGGCAACUGGAAUUCUCGGUGUAGCGGUGAAAUGCGUAGAGAUCGGGAGGAACACCCGUGGCGAAGGCGGCUCACGUGGGCUGGACCUUGACGCUGAGGCGCGGAAGGCGUGGGGAGCGAACGGGGG